rnacentral:rRNA from 1 species
CAACGCGAAGAACCUUACCUACUCUUGACAUCCAGAGAACUUAGCAGAGACUCGAAAGAGAAUCCGUGCACAGGUGCUGCAUGGCUGUCGUUGUGAAAUGUUGGGUUAAGUCCCGCAACGAGCGCAACCCUUGCUACCAUUGGGGCACUCUAUAGAGACUGCCAGGAGGAAGGUGGGGAUGACGUCAAGUCAUCAUGGCCCUUACAGCGGACCUCAUAAAGUGCGUCGUAGUCCGGAUUGGAGUCCUCCAUGAAGUCGGAAUCGCUAGUAAUCGUAGAUCAGAAUAUACGUUCCCGGGUCUUGUACACACCG